AAGACUAUAGACCUGCGGAGUACCUGCGGAAGGAUCAUUAUCGUAUUGUAACAAUUGGGGGGGCCACCGUGGGCUGUCGCUGACCCUUUGAAAGGGGGGUCGUGCACGCCCCCAUAGUGUCAUCCUCAUACAAUCCAACUCACCUCUGUGCAGCACCGCGUGGGUUCCUUUCUGGGUCGAGUCAGACUGGCUCAGAAAAAAGGGGCUUGCGUUUUCCAUACAAAUACCCUUAUAAAUCCA
rnacentral:misc_RNA from 1 species